AUGACUGAGGCGCCAGCUUUCGCUUCACCAACAGGGAAGGGUGACCCAAGCACUCUGCAGGCACUAACUUCCUGUACCCUGAGGUCAAGGGGAAGGGGAAAGGUUACCCUGAAGGAUUUGGCAAGCAGCUCCACCCACUUUUAUCAACCAGAGGGCAACCCCCAUCUCAGAAGAGGGGAGGAAUCCUAUGGAGCUGACUGUGGUUCAGACAACACACCUGCACAGGCUCCAGGGCAAUGCCCUGCACUCAGGGCCCAGGUUGACUUGAUGCCCCUAGACCCCACCACCAGGGACAGCCUGCGAGCUGGUACACUGCUGCUGGAUCCAGCUGCCAGCCCAGCACCGGGGCCAGCCGCUUCCCCACGACUCCCAACAGCACGGACUGCUUCCAGAGAGAGACCAACUUCGUGUUACCCCGGAUUCGUGUCCCAGCGGCCCCGAUGCACAAGUCCCUACACAAACACAUACACACAGCCUAGCUACCAAUACCAUCACCCCUACCGGGCAGGAGCAGUGGCCCGGGACGAGCGAACUCCACAGCCGCAGACCCAACUCGACCGAAGUUCCAGUUACAUCAGGAGUUGGGUUUGCUCCCAAGCACAACCCCAAACGACCAACACGGAGAAGCAGGAUCACCAUCUACUCAAACUCCGUCCGCCCCAAAUCCGUGAAAGGCAGAAUGGGACUCAGGGCCAGGGUGGGAGACUGGGAGCACACUUGCGGUGGGGCAGGGGAGGGGACCGCCCUCCCCGGUCGGCGCCAUCCUCCACCCUCUAGCCCGAGCUCCGGGCGGCCGAGGGUCGGUGGCGAACCGAAAGGAGUGCCCAUCCCAAGGCUCGCGGCUGGGGAGGGGAGCAGAGCCCAGGACCACGGCGAUCUGACCCCUCCCUCCCCGAGUGCUCUCACCCACGCCCGGCCCCAGCAGGCACCCGUCCCGGAACGCGGACAGGGCGAGGGCGACAGAACCCCGAGCGCCAGCCGGGUCGACCGCUGCGGCUCUCUCUCCUCUUGGUGCCCGAGUUCGGCUCAGCGGGGUCCCGGCCAAGGCCUCAGCCCCUCGCAGGCAAUCUGAGCAGACAAAGCCAGCGCUGGCCGCCGGGCCGCCCCGGGCCAGAAGCGAGGACGCUGGAGGGACCGACCCUGCACCAGGGGAUCAGUCCUUGUACCCAGAGGGCGCUGGGGGGAGUAGAGGGGAUCGGCUUCAGACAAUGAGCGGGGCAGGGCCCGACGCUCCAGCGGGGGCCCCGCGCUCUACUCA
rnacentral:lncRNA from 1 species